UAGGGAGGGUCCAAGCGUUGUUCGGAAUUACUGGGCGUAAAGGGGGCGCAGGCGGCCUGGUCAGUGGAAAGUGGAAGCCCGGGGCUCAACCUCGGAAGGCCUUUCCAUACUGCCUGGCUUGAGUUCGUGAGAGGGAAGCGGAAUUCAGGGUGUAGCGGUGAAAUGCUUAGAUAUCCUGAGGAACACCGAUGGCGAAAGCAGCUUCCUGGAACGAUACUGACGCUCAUGCCCGAAAGCGUGGGGAGCGAACAGG
rnacentral:rRNA from 1 species